GGGUGAGUAACACGUGGAUAACCUACCUAUAAGACUGGGAUAACUUCGGGAAACCGGAGCUAAUACCGGAUAAUAUUUUGAACCGCAUGGUUCAAAAGUGAAAGACGGUCUUGCUGUCACUUAUAGAUGGAUCUGCGCUGCAUUAGCUAGUUGGUAAGGUAACGGCUUACCAAGGCAACGAUGCAUAGCCGACCUGAGGGGGUGAUCGGCCACACUGGAACUGAGACACGGUCCAG
rnacentral:rRNA from 1 species